AUUGAACGCUGGCGGCAGGCCUAACACAUGCAAGUCGAGCGGGGUUUUCGGACCUAGCGGCGGACGGGUGAGUAAUGCGUAGGAAGCUACCCGAUAGAGGGGGAUACCAGUUGGAAACGACUGUUAAUACCGCAUAAUGUCUACGGACCAAAGUGUGGGACCUUCGGGCCACAUGCUAUCGGAUGCGCCUACGUGGGAUUAGCUAGUUGGUGGGGUAAUGGCUCACCAAGGCGACGAUCCCUAGCUGGUUUGAGAGGAUGAUCAGCCACACUGGAACUGAGACACGGUCCAGACUCCUACGGGAGGCAGCAGUGGGGAAUAUUGGACAAUGGGCGCAAGCGUGAUCCAGCCAUGCCGCGUGUGUGAAGAAGGCCUUCGGGUUGUAAAGCACUUUCAGUAGGGAGGAAGCGUUGUGUGUUAAUAGUACACAGCGUUGACGUUACCUACAGAAGAAGCACCGGCUAACUCUGUGCCAGCCGCCGCAGUAAAAC
rnacentral:rRNA from 1 species